rnacentral:rRNA from 1 species
UGGUGUGGAUGGGUAGGGGGAGCGUCGUGUGGCCGUGGAAGCGCCGGAGUGAUCCAGGUGUGGAGGCCAUGCGAGUGAGAAUGCAGGCAUGAGUAGCGAAAGACGAGUGAGAAACUCGUCCGCCGAAUGACCAAGGGUUCCUGGGCCAGGUUAAUCCGCCCAGGGUGAGUCGGGACCUAAGGCGAGGCCGACAGGCGUAGUCGAUGGACAACGGGUUGAUAUUCCCGUACCCGUGUAUCCGCGCCCAAUGGCGAAUCAGUUGUGCUAACCGUCCAAAAGUUCUUCGGGUUCCUUCGGGAGUCCGGGGGGACGGCUGCACGGGACCCUGGCUGUAGUAGUCAAGCGAUGGGGGUGACGCAGGAAGGUAGCUGGGCCAGGUGGUGGAAUACCUGGUGUAAGCCGGUAGGGCGAGACGUAGGCAAAUCCGCGUCUCAUGUGGCCUGAGAGGUGAUGCGUACCCGUUGAGGGGGAAUUCAGUGAUCCUAUGCUGCCGAGAAAAGCCUCUAGUGAGUUGGUACACGGCCCGUACCCCCCCAAACCGACACAGGUGGUCAGGUAGAGAAUACCAAGGCGAUCGAGAGAACUGUGGUUAAGGAACUCGGCAAAAUGCCCCCCCGUAACUUCGGGAGAAGGGGGGGACCACGCCUGGUGACCGGAUUUACUCCGUGAGCUGGGGGGGUGGUCGCAGAGACCAGAGAGAAGCGACUGUUUACUAAAAACACAGGUCCGUGCGAAGUCGUAAGACGAUGUAUACGGACUGACGCCUGCCCGGUGCUGGAAGGUUAAGAGGACCGGUUAGCCAUUUCGGUGGCGAAGCUGAGAAUUUAAGCCCCCCCAGUAAACGGCGGUGGUAACUAUAACCAUCCUAAGGUAGCGAAAUUCCUUGUCGGGUAAGUUCCGACCUGCACGAAUGGCGUAACGACUUCUCUGCUGUCUCAACCACAGACUCGGCGAAAUUGCAUUACGAGUAAAGAUGCUCGUUACGCGCGGCAGGACGAAAAGACCCCCGGGACCUUCACUAUAGCUUGGUAUUGGUGUUCGGUUCGGUUUGUGUAGGAUAGGUGGGAGACUGUGAAGCGGCCACGCCAGUGGUUGUGGAGUCGUUGUUGAAAUACCACUCUGAUCGUAUUGGACAUCUAACCUCGGACCAUGAUCUGGUUCAGGGACAGUGCCUGGUGGGUAGUUUAACUGGGGGCGGUUGCCUCCCAAAAUGUAACGGAGGCGCCCAAAGGUUCCCUCAGCCUGGUUGGCAAUCAGGUGUCGAGUGCAAGUGCACAAGGGAGCUUGACUGUGAGACUGACAGGUCGAGCAGGGACGAAAGUCGGGACUAGUGAUCCGGCACCGGCAUGUGGAAGCGGUGUCGCUCAACGGAUAAAAGGUACCCCCCCGGGGAUAACAGGCUGAUCUUCCCCCAAGAGUCCAUAUCGACGGGAUGGUUUGGCACCUCGAUGUCGGCUCGUCGCAUCCUGGGGGCUGGAGUAGGUCCCAAGGGUUGGGCUGUUCGCCCAUUAAAGCGGCACGCGAGCUGGGUUUAGAACGUCGUGAGACAGUUCGGUCUCUAUCCGCCGCGCGCGUUAGAAACUUGAGGAAGGCUGUCCCUAGUACGAGAGGACCGGGACGGACGAACCUCUGGUGUGCCAGUUGUCCCGCCAGGGGGGGCACUGCUGGUUGGCUACGUUCGGAAGGGAUAACCGCUGAAAGCAUCUAAGCGGGAAGCCUGUUCCAAGAUGAGGUUUCU